AUCGUGGGGGUGGCGGCUGGGAAUGGUGUUUCCCUCCCUCUGGGAAUGCCGAUCAAUUCAUCCAAGCCACCUAUCCUCACAAAGAGCUCCGGGUGAAAAGCGGACACCCUGAACAGGUCGCAGUUCAGCCCUUCCAAAGUCCCAGGAAGAAUGUUUGGAAUUAAACUAUUAUCGCCGCUUAUCCUCAUGAGGGACGCGGGGAGUGCUGGAGCCUAUCCCAGCUGUCACCGGGGAGGAGGCGGGGUACACCCUGAAGUGGUCGCCAACGAAUCGCAGGGCACAUCGAGACAAACAACCAAUCGCAUUCACAAUCACACGUAGGGUCAAUUUCCAGUGUCCAAUUAAUGUUGCGUGUUUUUGGAUUGUGGGGGGGAAACCGGAGUGCCCACCUGGAGAAAAGGGAGAAGAACAUGCAAAUUCCACUCAGGAAGGUCCGGGAUUGAACCUGGGACCUCCGAACGUUUUCAUGCUGAGCCACCGUGCUGCCAUUUUUUUUUUUUUUUUUGGUAUUAGCUUAGCAUUGUACUUUGUAGCAUGACAGAUAGAAAAAAAAAACUGAGUUUUUUUAAGGGGGGGUGGGGGGUUAAUGACCCAGUAGAAGUGUUUCAACAUUGUAAUUUCAGGGCCAUCUUUGAAGUUCACUAAUGAAGUACAAGUGAAUGCGCAGACGAGGGGGGGGGGGCGUCGGAGGCGUUAUUAAUUUGUUGUGUGAAUGCAAAAUUUAUUAAAAAUGGAGCUUUUGAUCUGCUUUGCUUAUUGGCUUCUAAUUAGCGACGCACACCAGCAAAAUGCCUUCUUUUUGUAUCGGGGAGAGAGGGCUGACAAAAGAACCCCCCCCCCCCAAAAAAAAGAAGAGUAUUACACAGUUAGUCUGCCUAAUGAGAUUGUUGUCGUCACCGCAGCUCAAAAACAAUCUUAAACUCUGUGCGCCGCGUCGGAAGCCGCCAAUUAAUCCUAUUGAACGCAGAGUUGCUUUUGUGAAUCGAAGCGUUAAAAGCGUGCCCCCCCCCCCCCUUCCGUAUUUUAACGCACGGGCAAAAAUAAAAGCUUUGAUUCCUCUGGCCGCUGAGGCGAUGUGCUGCAUUGCAGUAAAAAGACAACCAAUAGCCUGCCAGAGACAGCCUUAAAAAGUUUGCGGAGAGGCGAGACAUCAUGGCCGAACCCCAUUAAAUCCGCGCGCACACACGCACACGCUUGCACGCCCGUUGGUGUGGCUGUGUUUUUGCAUAGGGCCGCAUUAUUGUCACCUCGCUGAAUUGCAUUAAAAUAGGCCAGCGGAGGCAAAAUCCUCCCCGGAAUUUGAUCCGUUUCCCUUCCGUCGUAGACUCUCCAUCCACUUCCCCACUAAUGACGCCCUGGCCCGGGAGGUGGAGCACUUUUUCUCGGGCUAAUUCAUUCAGAGAAAGACUCCUCCUCCAUGUGGCAGAAAAAUAUGAAAAGAUUCUAAGAAUCGAAGGGGGUCUUGAACGUGGAGCCGUUUUUUUGGGUUUUGUCUAUGUUGCUAAGGUCAGCAAGCUAGCUACAAGCUACCUAGCAUGCCUCAAGGUUUUGUCAUGGCUAGCUUUUAAAUACUUUUUAGAAGACGACAAAUGGAAAAAUAAAGGGUCCAUAGAACCACCGUCGAGGGUGUUCCGAGAGGCGCUUCCUUUUAUGAGCGCUUCUUCCUGUAACAAACAUUAGCAACAGCGCUACCUCACCGCGGUCUGGGCUUUUAAGUGUCGUGAGUGGCAGGAAGCCUUGUGAAUCACACAAAUGCGACAGGCGGCCGGGGGAUGGACGGCGGCGUAAUGCAGAAACUCGGCGGCCGUGUACUUCAGCAAAUACAUGGGGGGGGGGGGGGGUUACUUUGAAAUGGACC